rnacentral:rRNA from 1 species
GAUGAACGCUGGCGGCGUGCCUAACACAUGCAAGUCGAGCGAUCUUCUUCGGAAGAGAGCGGCGGACGGGUGAGUAACGCGUGGGUAACCUGCCCUGUACACACGGAUAACAUACCGAAAGGUAUGCUAAUACGAGAUAAUAUACUUUUAUCGCAUGGUAGAAGUAUCAAAGCUUUUGCGGUACAGGAUGGACCCGCGUCUGAUUAGCUAGUUGGUAAGGUAACGGCUUACCAAGGCGACGAUCAGUAGCCGACCUGAGAGGGUGAUCGGCCACAUUGGAACUGAGACACGGUCCAAACUCCUACGGGAGGCAGCAGUGGGGAAUAUUGCACAAUGGGCGAAAGCCUGAUGCAGCAACGCCGCGUGAGCGAUGAAGGCCUUCGGGUCGUAAAGCUCUGUCCUCAAGGAAGAUAAUGACGGUACUUGAGGAGGAAGCCCCGGCUAACUACGUGCCAGCCGCCGCAGUAA